UACGUAGGGACGAGCGUUGUCCGGAAUCAUUGGGCGUAAAGAGCGUGUAGGCGGCCUAAUUAAGUCCUGCGUGAAAUACUCCGGGGCUCAACCCCGAGCGGUCGUGGGAAACUGGUUGGCUAGAGUGCGGGAGAGGAGGAGUGGAAUUCCGUGGUGUAGCGGUGAAAUGCGCAGAUAUCAGGAAGGAACGACCCGCUGGCGAAGGCGGCUCUCCUGGGCAACGCAACUGACGCUGAGACGACGAAAGCGUGGGGAGCAAACAGG
rnacentral:rRNA from 1 species